AUCUAAAGGCGUCCUCAUGCUUCUUGUGCGGAACAGUUUGUUCAUAUAUUAUGUCUUUCUUCAUUUUGGUCUUCACCAAGGUUUUUUUGGGGCUGUUUGCGCACACAUUUUUUUCUCGAAGCAAACUGAAGAUCUGGAGCCGAAGUCUUUACCCCUUCAUCAUCAUUGGUCAACAGUAGGGAUUAUUCAAAUGUGUUGUCGUUCAACGAUGGACGACUCGUUUUUAUGCACAUUUUUUCACUUGAGAAAUACUGCACCAAACAUCUUAGUUAGAUGCUCGACUAAAGUGAAAGACUCACCAGAAGUGGGCGGGCAGAAAGUCCAUGUCUCCAAUCAUCUUUGCUGAUAGCAAUGUUAUGUUUCCAUAAGUGGAUGAAUUGGUCUAAUGUAGCAUGUAUGGUAAAGCCUCAACCCUUAGCUAUCUCUUCCAACUCAAAUGAGCAAAAAAAAAUGGAAUAAUGAAAAAAUAUGUGUUUUGUGUGACUACAGCACCAGUGAUAGAAGGUAAAUAUGUGUUGUUUUGUGUCUACAGCACCAGUGAUAGAAGGUAAAAUAUGUGUUGUUUUGUGUGACUACAGCACCAGUGAUAGAAGGUAAAUAUGUGUUGUUUUGUGUGACUACAGCACCAGUGAUAGAAGGUAAAUAUGUGUUGUUUUGUGUGACUACAGCACCAGUGAUAGAAGGUAAAAUAUGUGUUGUUUUGUGUGACUACAGCACCAGUGAUAGAAGGUAAAUAUGUGUUGUUUUGUGUGACUACAGCACCAGUGAUAGAAGGUAAAUAUGUGUUGUUUUGUGUGACUACAGCACCAGUGAUAGAAGGUAAAAUAUGUGUUGUUUUGUGUGACUACAGCACCAGUGAUAGAAGGUAAAUAUGUGUUGUUUUGUGUGACUACAGCACCAGUGAUAGAAGGUAAAAUAGAGACAUGUUCUUAUUGAGGCACUGGCUUCGGUUGGGUCAUUAUAAUUCAAAACAAUAUAUUCUAAAAUAAAUCACACACACGCCUC